AGCAAAACAAAAACCACAAAAAAACCCGCAAAGGACCACAAAAAAAAAAAAUAUAUCUGGCAUCUUUGUUUCUAGAUUUGAGCCUCGCCUUCUAUCGAGAUCUACAAAUCUCUUCCUUCUAAUGGUUGUGUAAGCUUCUUACUCAUCUUAUCUGAAUUGUUAUCUAAGAUGAUGCAUUUGAGCACUUUCUCUGCUUGAUGGAGACGAUUAGUUCUUAUGUCCAAUUUCUGGGUUGCAUGAUAAAGGUAAGUCAGCAGUUGUCGAGGUCGAAAUAUGAAAAAGAGUGUGGCGUAUUGCUCUGCAUGCCUUUCAUCUGUGCAGGAUAGGGUGCUGGUGGAUUCCCAGCCUUACUCUUUUACCAAAUACCCCUCCCCUCAGACAUCGACUUAUAAAAUUCCUAAAAGUCAAACUAUUUGCUGUAUUUGAUCCGUCACAGGUAUGUGGUAUUUUUGUCACGGCACCAGUUAUCGUCAUUAGCUCAGAAGCACGGAAGUGAAUACAUUUUCUACACCAAUCAUCAUUAAAUGUAUUGAUGAAUCAUGUCUGAACAUUGCUGAUGUGUUAUUACCUUAUUGGCUUGUUUUAAGUGCACAUAUGGUUUCAAUUGCAAA